UGAAUUAGAGAGAGUGAGAUGAGGGUAAAUGAGUUUGAAGGGAAGAGAGUGAGAUGAGGGUAAAGGAGGUUGAAGGGAAGAGAGUGAGAUAAGGGUAAAGGAGGAUGAAGGGAAGAGAGUGAGAUGAGGGUAAAAGGGGGUUGAAGGGAAGAGAGUGAAAUGUGGGUAAAGGAGGUUGAUUUAGAGAGAGUGAGAUGAGGGUAAAGGAGGUUGAAGGAAGAGAGUGAGAUGAGGGUAAAUGAGUUUGAAGGGAAGAGAGUGAGAUGAGGGUAAAGGAGGUUGAAGGGAAGAGAGUGAGAUAAGGGUAAAGGAGGAUGAAGGGAAGAGAGUGAGAUGAGGGUAAAAGGGGGUUGAAGGGAAGAGAGUGAAAUGUGGGUAAAGGAGGUUGAUUUAGAGAGAGUGAGAUGAGGGUAAAGGAGGUUGAAGGAAGAGAGUGAGAUGAGGGUAAAGGAGGAUGAAGGGAAGAGAGUGAGACGAGGGUAAAGGAGGUUGAAGGGAAGAUAGUGAGAUGAGGGUAAAGGAGGUUGAAGGGAAGAUAGUGAGAUGAGGGUAAAGGAGGUUGAAGGAAAGAGAGUGAGAUGAGGGUAAAGGAGGAUGAAGGGAAGAGAGUGAGAUGAGGGUAAAGGAGGUUGAAUUAGAGAGAGUGAGAUGAGGGUAAAGGAGGAUGAAGGGAAGAGAGUGAGAUGAGGGUAAAGGAGGUUGAAGGGAAGAUAGUGAGAUGAGGGUAAAGGAGGUUGAAGGGAAGAGAGUGAGAUGAGGGUAAAGGAGGUUGAAGGGAAGAGAGUGAGACGAGGGUAAAUGAGGUUGAAGGGAAGAUAGUGAGAUGAGGGUAAAGGAGGUUGAAGGGAAGAUAGUGAGAUGAGGGUAAAGGAGGUUGAAGGGAAGAGAGUGAGAUGAGGGUAAAGGAGGUUGAACGGAAGAGAGUGAGAUGAGGGUAAAGGAGGUUGAACGGAAGAGAGUGAGAUGUGGGUAAAGGAGGUUGAAGGGAAGAGAGUGAGAUGAGGGUAAAGGAGGUUGAACAGAAGAGAGUGAGAUGUGGGUAAAGGAGGUUGAAGAGAGUGAGAUGAGGGUAAAGGAGAUUGAAGGGAAGAGAGUGAGAUGAGGGUAAAGGAGGUUGAACGGAAGAGAGUGAGAUGUGGGUAAAGGAGGUUGAAGGGAAGAGAGUGAGAUGAGGGUAAAGGAGGUUGAACGGAAGAGAGUGAGAUGUGGGUAAAGGAGGUUGAAGGGAAGAUACUGAGAUGAGGGUAAAGGAGGUUGAACGGAAGAGAGCGAGAUGUGGGUAAAGGAGGUUGAAUUAGAGAGAGUGAGAUGAGGGUAAAGGAGGUUGAAUUAGAGAGAGUGAGAUAAGGGUAAAGGAGACUGAAGGGAAGAGAGUGAGAUGAGGGUAAAGGAGGUUGAAUUAGAGAGAGUGAGAUGAGGGUAAAGGAGGUUGAAUUAGAGAGAGUGAGAUAAGGGUAAAGGAGACUGAAGGGAAGAGAGUGAGAUGAGGGUAAAGGAGGUUGAAGGGAAGAGAGUGAGAUGAGGGUAAAGGAGGUUGAAGGGAAGAGAGUGAGAUGAGGGUAAAGGAGGUUGAAUUAGAGAGAGUGAGAUGACGGUAAAGGAGGUUGAAUUAGAGAGAGUGAGAUAAGGGUAAAGGAGACUGAAGGGAAGAGAGUGAGAUGAGGGUAAAGGAGGUUCAAGGGAAGAGAGUGAGAUGAGGGUAAAGGAGGUUGAAGGGAAGAGAGUGAGAUGAGGGUAAAGGAGGUUGAAGUGAAGAGAGUGAGAUGAGGGUAAAGGAGGUUGAAUGGAAGAGAGGGAGAUGAGGGUAAAGGAGGUUGAAUUAGAGAGAGUGAGAUGAGGGUAAAGGUGGAUGAAGGGAAGAGAGUGAGAUGAGGGUAAAAGAGGUUGAACGGAAGAGAGUGAGAUGUGGGUAAAGGAGGUUGAAGGGAAGAGAGUGAGAUGAGGGUAAAGGAGGAUGAAGGGAAGAGAGUGAGAUGAGGCUAAAGGAGGUUGAAGGGAAGAGCGUGAGAUGAGGGUAAAGGAGGUUGAACUGGAGAGAGGGAGAUGAGGGUAAAGGAGGUUGAAUUAGAGAGAGUGAGAUGAGGGUAAAGGAGGAUGAAGGGAAGAGAGUGAGAUGUGGGUAAAGCAGGUUGAAUUAGAGAGUGAGAUGAGGGUAAAGGA